GAUGAACGCUGGCGGCGUGCCUAAUACAUGCAAGUCGAGCGAACAGACGAGGAGCUUGCUCCUCUGACGUUAGCGGCGGACGGGUGAGUAACACGUGGAUAACCUACCUAUAAAACUGGGAUAACUUCGGGAAACCUGAGCUAAUACCGGAUAAUAUAUUGAACCGCAUGGUUCAAUAGUGAAAGACGGUUUUGCUGUCACUUAUAGAUGGAUCCGCGCCGCAUUAGCUAGUUGGUAAGGUAACGGCUUACCAAGGCGACGAUGCGUAGCCGACCUGGGAGGGUGAUAGGCCACACUGGAACUGAGACACGGUCCAGACUCCUACGGGAGGCAGCAGUAGGGAAUCUUCCGCAAUGGGCGAAAGCCUGACGGAGCAACGCCGCGUGAGUGAUGAAGGUCUUCGGAUCGUAAAACUCUGUUAUUAGGGAAGAACAAAUGUGUAAGUAACUAUGCACGUCUUGACGGUACCUAAUCAGAAAGCCACGGCUAACUACGUG
rnacentral:rRNA from 1 species